rnacentral:rRNA from 1 species
CCUACGGGGGGCAGCAGUGAGGAAUAUUGGUCAAUGGGCGCGAGCCUGAACCAGCCAAGUCGCGUGAGGGAAGACGGUCCUAUGGAUUGUAAACCUCUUUUGUCGGGGAGCAAAAGACGCCACGCGUGGCGUUCCGAGAGUACCCGAAGAAAAAGCAUCGGCUAACUCCGUGCCAGCAGCCGCGGUAAUACGGAGGAUUCGAGCGUUAUCCGGAUUUAUUGGGUUUAAGGGGUGCGCAGGCGGAAGAUCAAGUCAGCGGGAAAAUUGAGAGGCUAAACCUCGUCGUGCCGUUGAAACUGGUUUUCUUGAGUGAGUGAGAAGUAUGCGGAAUGCGUGGUGUAGCGGUGAAAUGCAUAGAGAUCACGCAGAACUCCGAUUGCGAAGGCAGCAUACCGGCGCUCAACUGACGCUCAUGCACGAAAGUGUGGGUAUCGAACAGGAUUAGAUACCCCUGUAGUC